rnacentral:lncRNA from 1 species
GACAAAGUGCACGGCUAGAUCCACUUUAGCUUUCAUUAUUGGCUGUUAUUAAACCUUUAAACUAAUGUUACACCGAACUCCCGGUGUUCACAGGAUCAUUAUCAUUUUAGUAUUAUUACUACUUUCCUAAAACCUUACCAUAGAACAUUUAGCUUGUCAUAGAAUUGCGUACCUUAUUUUGCUCCAUUAGUUCCGUAGUUGAUGCUAGAUCUUUUGAUAUUUUUGAGAGAGUAAGAGUACAUGAGAGAAAGUUUUUCAAAGAAAGAUUUUAUUAUACAAGGUUGAAGAGUCGAUGCCCCCUCUUUAAUUUACUAAGUCCUAUAUAUAUAGGCAAAGGAUUGAGGGUAAUAAUUAGAGUGCGGGUGCUCAUUGGGCC